rnacentral:lncRNA from 13 species
GGCCUGGUGCCUGCAAGCUGACGUCGGUCGUCAGUUAAACAGUGUUCCCUCCGACACAUUGGUGCCUGCUGUUUGUCCUCCUGUCCAGGGUGUGGAGCUGGAGAGCACCAGGCUGGUGAUCAGGUACCCAGACCGCUGGAUGCAGAGAACCCCUCACUCUCCUCAGAAGACCAACCCUAUAGGCCUCAACACCUCCUCAGCCUCCCAGUACGCCUCCACAUGGGAAACAGACCUCAGUUCUGACUGCAGCUGUAGGAAUCACAGUGGCUCUGGUUCUCAUCCUCUGUCACUCUGGCUUCAGGUGUGUUUUGAGGAUGAGGAUGUCCAGUACGCUGCUGUGAAAUUCAACCUCCCCAGUGCUGCCACCCACAGCACAAGCAGCUGAGGAGGACUCCUCUGUUCUCUACAGUACAGUCAACAAACCCUGAACCAAGAAGACCCCAACGCAACAAACCCUGAACCAAGAAGACCCGAACGCAACAAACCCACAACCAUGAAGACCCCAACACAACAAACCCAGAACCAUGAAGAUCUGAAUCCAACAAACCCAGAAAUAAGAAGACCUGAACAGAACAAGUUUAAUGUGUUUAUAUGGGCUAUAAGUAAAGGAGUGUUAAUUGCUUUUGUAGUAUUUUUUCAAAAAAGGGGAAGUGAAAUUUAAAAUCAAAUAUCCAAAUGAUCCACGGUAUGACCACCUUAAAACAAUUCCAUAUGUCAGCUAGUAGAAUAACCCUCCAAACGGCUUAGACUUUUAGAGGUUCAGAAUCCCAGUGUCAGAGGGAGCAAUGACCAGCACCUAGACACAUACAUCAAAUCAAAUCUAAUUGUAUUUGUCAAGUUUGAAAUGGUUAAGGACACGCUCUUAAGCAACAAUGCAGUUGCUUAUAUGUAAGAAAAUAUUAGAUUUCUUUAAAUAAAAAAUGCUAAAAAAUAACUAUAUAAAUCACACAAUAACAUUUCAAUAACGAAGCAGCAAUAAACAUUUACAUGAAAGAUUCAAUGGGACACAAUAAUCCCAGACAGACAGACAGACAGACAGACAGACAGACAGACAGACAGACAGACAGACAGACUUAGCUAUAUGCAUGUCAGGGUCCACUUUGGGUCCAUUGCUCUGAAGAUCAGUGAGCUGAAGACAUCUCUUUCACACAAGAACACACUGGAAGCUCAGAGCAGCUUGCCUUGGCCUUGGCAUAAUGACAGCUCACUGUUGUCUGUUGUUUCUAGUUAGCUAAUGUUGAUAGCUAAAUCUUAGCUAGCUAGCUAGCUCACAAGCUAACUAUGGGGUCUUGCUGUAAUUCAGAGGCAGCGCAUCAUAUUGUUCACAAUCCAGUACAUUCAGAGUAGCUGUGUGAUGCACAAAAAUACUUGUUUAUCGCUGAAUAACAGCAGCUUCAUGUAGCUAACAAGCUAGCUGAGCUCACUGAUUCACUCAAUACAAACACCAGUUCAAUAUAAGUCCCAAUAACAGUAUUUUUACGUGCGUGACUGUUUUAUUCUAUAUAUAUUUUUGACAUUUUCUACCUUCUAUUUUAGAUAUUUUCAUCAGACUAGUAGGGACAUAUGAGGCCUGGAGGCUGCAGUAAUGUUGAGAUGUCAGUAGGGAGAGCUCUAGUCUAGAGCACUGGUACCAAAGAUACUCCCCUUUCGUCUGUUCUGGAACCUUCAGUACCAGCUGAUGAGGAGUGAUGGGAAUGGGUCACAUUUUGUCUCUUGUAAAACAUGUAGGUCCACUCCUCAAAUAAAGAAAUGUAACUACAGUAUUCUGACCUUAGACCAAUUUCUAUUUAGAUACAGUAACAUCCCUUAUGUGACAUGUUGUUCCUGCAUGUUAAUGCCCUGACUAGGCUACUUUAAAAUGUGUCAACCACAGAACUCACACAUAGGCUACGCCUGCUUCUACUAACACUUACAGUAGACUACUUCUUGUUUCCACGCAGUGACAGUAAGUUGACUAACUGUUCAAGACCUCUCCCCUUCACUUCACUCUGUAAGUACACUUGACAAUAUCUUGAAAUAUAGUUUUAGUUUUGAUGUUUUUAGCCAAUCAUCACAUGACUUCCUGUAUCUUUGUACUUGUUGGUUUAUUUUGAACUGUGUUUUGGUUGUUACAUCAGGGCCUGUAUUCAUAAAGUGUCUCAGAUGGUCCAUAUAAUUAUGAUCUAAAAGGCUAAACUGAUCCCAGAUCAGCUCUCCUACUCUGAUACACUUUGUGAAUACUGACCCUGGACUGUGGUUUCAUGUGUUUAGUUUAGAUCAGUUUAUUCAUUUACAUGUUUAAAACAUGAUCAGUAGAGUUUACCAGUAACACCCAGAUCUCCAUUCAAUAGGGUCAUGUUCACUGUCAUAGUAUAACAGGGUCAAUGAUAACUGUGUGUGUGAUAUGUCUGUGUGUGUAUGUGUGUAAAUACAUUUUUACAUAUUAAUCUGAUUGUUGGAUAUACAGUCAAGACC